GACGAACGCUGGCGGCGUGCUUAACACAUGCAAGUCGAGCGGAAAGGCCACUUCGGUGGUACUCGAGCGGCGAACGGGUGAGUAACACGUGAGUAAUCUGCCCCUGGCUUUGGGAUAGCCACCGGAAACGGUGAUUAAUACCGGAUACGACCACUUCUCGCAUGGGAUGGUGGUGGAAAGUUUUUUCGGCCAGGGAUGUGCUCGCGGCCUAUCAGCUUGAUGGUGAGGUAAUGGCUCACCAUGGCUUCGACGGGUAGCCGGCCUGAGAGGGUGACCGGUCACACUGGGACUGAGACACGGCCCAGACUCCUACGGGAGGCAGCAGUGGGGAAUAUUGGACAAUGGGCGGAAGCCUGAUCCAGCAACGCCGCGUGAGGGAUGACGGCCUUCGGGUUGUAAACCUCUUUCAGCAGGGACGAAGCGCAAGUGACGGUACCUGCAGAAGAAGCACCGGCCAACUACGUGCCAGCAGCCGCGGUAU
rnacentral:rRNA from 1 species